rnacentral:lncRNA from 1 species
AUGUUUUGAUAAACAGCAUCCUGUUUCAUUGAAGAAACUACCGAUGCCGAUGGAAUUACGGAUCUCUUCUUCCCCUUUCUUUAAAUCCUCUGUGUCCUCGUGUAUACCCAUGUGUGUGUGGGUGUAUUCACGAGGACGUCCUUUUUCCUAUCCAGACUGGUGUACAUUUAACUAUUCUUCCGGAUGGAACACUUGUGGAUGUCUGGCCGUACAUUUCCCGGGCACAAAGCACCUGAUUGCCAAAUGUCAUUGGGAGAAGAAUGGAGUGGAGUGGGGUUGAGAGGCUUCCGCCGAUUGGCCGGACACACGUGCGGGCACACACGAGGACAAACAGACAGCCAGCCAGCCAGCCAGCGCACCACGGGUGUUUGGACGGAGCCAAGCUGAGAGCGACAGCACCGUCCUGGAUCAACAGAUCGGAAUUUGCCGCCCGAACAUUGAACUUACUGGCCGUUCACUCGUACAGGUGAGCAGCCAAGUGCGAAACGGGGUACCUAACCUAAACACACUGGACACCCUUUUUUCUUUUCUCCUCUUUUUUUUCUUUUGUAACUUUCGUGUGUGGAUUGGAUUUUGGCCGAAAACUUCCAAAAGUCCCGUCCGACAUGUUUUGCCGCUCGAGUAAUGAAUCGGCCUUGUGCAUUGGCCGUCUCUUGGCCAGCUUUUUUCCCUUUGUGUGUGUGUCUACCUGAUACUGUUGAUGUUGUUCUGUCGUCACUACCUAUCGAAUUCGAGACCGUGUUGUGCGGGUCCAAUCCGUAACAAAUGAGAGCGCGGCCGGUGUUUUUUUUUUCUUCUUUCUUUCUUUUCCUUUUCUCUCUCUUAUUCGCCGUUUGCCCAUUUUCCAUCCGAAAUUCACGCUCCACUGCAACUCCAAAGUGCAGCCGAGGAAACUUUUUUUGACGAAAAGGUGGUAUAAAAGAGAGAGAGAGACGAAUAAAGUGAAGAGCAAGAAAAGAUAUAUAGUGAGAGAGAGAGAGAUCAACGAACUGUGUUGUGUGUGAUCGCAAACACACACACAUACAGGACACAGAAGCAAACGCGGGUCGGAGCGCGAAACACAAAAGAAAUGAGAGGCUCAAAAAUAAAAAGAAAAAAUAAGAAAUGAAAGUUAUAUUAUACCUGGUGAUGGCUGUGCGGUAAUGCUGUCAUUCUGUCGAAAAUGCUCAACAACUCACUGAGCUGCGCCGUUGUUUUUUUCUGUUACUUCUUCUUCUUCUUGUUUUAUUACCAUCAUUUUGAAAUUGACAUUUUGGCUCCCGUGUCGGCGCUCUAGACGCGGACGCACAUCUAGGGAGGAAGCUGGGACUUUUUCUGGUGCUCUGCCGUUGUUGUUGUUGUAACCGUACGUCCGUAACGGUUCUUUUUUUUUCUUAUUUGCAUCGGCUGGUUAACAGUAUCUUGAUCUCUUUGGUCGUCUCGUUGCGUAGUAACGUUUAAACAGACAUGAUGUAGUGUAUAAAUAGAAAAGAGCACACACACACAGAAACGGAAUGGCGUUGCUCGAUGGCGGUGGCAAAAAGGCAAACCCGAAAGAGGAGAGAAGACGCAACAGCUCUACACACACACAUAGCUAAGCUAUACUCCUAUAUAUAUGUAUAUAUAUAUAUCUAGUAUAAAGAAGAUGGUGAAAGAGGAGAAGAAGGAGAGGAGGACACAACAUCCGGGGCUCAUCUUCAUGCUCGGGCGAGAUACAAUCACUGUGAUUAUACACGGUACACUCUGUAGAAAAAAAACCAUCUUUUUUAAAAAAGAGAGUGGGGCUACGAGACGUGGAACUCCAUCUAGCGCACCAACCGACUCGGAUGAGAUUGAGUUUAAGUGACGGGGAAUUCUCUCAAAAUACUCACACGUACUAGGCGCGUUUAUAUAGGGUAGGCGCAGAGAUAGGGAUGAUCCCAUUAGCUGGAAACAACCUGAUGGAAUAAUAAGUUGACUUGAUCUUUGACUCGCCCCUCUUUUGUUUGCCGGCGAUGCUUCUCCUUGCCCAUACGGUCGCCGGCCCCAUUUGAUGCUCUUUUCUCUUCUCUUCUCUUCUCCGUCCGUCUUGCGCCUCCUUGCGGUCGGAGGCAAAGAAGCGCCAAGGACGAAAUCCUCUACACACACUCACAUAGUGUCAACUAAUCAAUUCAAAAAUGGCGGCCGACUCCCUCAUCUAUCUCGUCGCCCGAUGGAAAACGAGCACUUGCAUACGCCAAACUCAACUUACGUUUGAUCACGUUUGAUCGUGAUUGAUCGAAGGGAAAUCGUUGAUAGCCUCCAGGCAUCGACUUCCUUUCAUCAAUUGACUACCGAAUUGAGAUCGUCGCAGUUGUGGAGCACAGGAGCAGAGCAACAUCUGAAAAAUAAAAGGGGCUCCGUCUCGAAGCUUUUACCCGACUCGCAGUAGUGGAUUGAUUAAGUCGCAAUGCAGUCAUCUUUGCCCCAUUGUUAUUCCCGGCGCGUAUCCUCCUAUUCCACCCCCUAGACUCUGCUAGAUAUAUCUCUCUACCAAGGUCUACCUCUCUUUUUCUUGCCUUUUCCCAAUGUCGUCGUCUAUCUACGAUCUGCUUUUCUUCCCAUCGCCAGCCGCCGUAAUGAGGCAGAGAUGCAAAGCGAGACGAACGAAAAGACUCUGCACACUCAAAAGAUGGCUCUCUUUCUCUCUCUCUCUCUCUUCCAGCGCUCUCAUUGAUUACCAGACCGCACGCUCAUUGACAUGAUUGACCCCAUCAGCCAUUCUACUACUACCCCUUUUUUUCCCUUCUCUCUUAUUUUUUAUUCCCACUCUAUGCGCUUCUCGGUUUUCACGAAAAACACACAGAGAGAGAGAAGGCCCGAGUCGUCAUGGAAGCGCACAGCGCCAUUCUCGUUCCAUCCGGCGCCGAGUUUGUUGUUUUGUUAUAUGACGGAAUGGCCUCGAUUGGGAGGGCCCUCCCUUUCUCGCCUGUCUGUUUCUCUCCUUUUUUCCUCCUUCUUUCUUCUUCUUCUUCUUCUUCUCCUUUGGCCUUAUCAUGCGUGUGGGAGGAGACGUUGUUGUCUACCCGUACGCUCUCUCCUAAUUGAGCCAAAGGAAAGAAGAAGAAGCUAGGCAAAGUUAUGAGCACACGACGGAAAAAGAAGAAGAAGAAACGAGGGUCCCUGCUCAUUUGUUAAAUGGAACCCUAGACCCCGUCGCUUCCGAUGUGCUGCUGCCACCAGGCAUCCACCAACUAGAGCGCGCACCAACUGAAGCGCAUCUCGUCUCUUUUUUUUUUUUUUUCCCCUUUGUCGCUCGACAUCCCAAAGUUGCGUGUUCUGGCGUCAUCAUAAAGCCAGCCACCCUUAUUGCUUCUUAAUCCUCAGCGAAACUAUCGAUAAUCAACCUAACGCAAGACUCGAAAGAGCGCGGCCACCAGUUUCACCGAAAAGUAUAAAAUGGACGUUUUAAAAACCGUUUGGCCAACUCCCCACCGACUUCUUCGCCGCUUGUUUCGAUCGAUGGGAACUGAUUCAUUAAGAUUUUUUUUUUCUCUCUUUCCACCACACUCCACCCCCCGUCUCUUUCUUUCUCUCCGGGUUGGUUACCUAAAUGGCCGAUAUAUGCGCUCAAUCCUUUUUUUUGAUUGUUUCAAACACUGUGAGGCCCCGGCCGUAUUGAUCAGCAGCGGACGUCGACCGCGACGCGGAGAAACACUCGAGCUCUCGCCCGUUUGGUGGUUGUAGUAACAGCUUGCUUUCGGGGGUGCUGCGCGUUGUUCAGAGAGACGGGCACAACUCUUGGUACUCUUCGUCCGUCGAGUGGUGGCGCUGUUGGAGUCGACUUAAGACUCGGCGGGUGGUGGAAACUUCUGGUCGAGCAAAGCCUGCUGCUGUUGAUUGAUCCGGGGAGAAAUCAGAGCUACUAUUGGGAGGCGCACAGGGAGGGAAAAGCCAGACCGGUGGAUACUGGUUAACAAAACGGACAACCCAAAGCAAAGAAUGGGAAACAAGUCUUGCCGAAGGGCCACGGAGCGCAACGAAAACAUCAACUAAAAAACCCAGAAUAGCGUGUAAGGUGGGCCGAAAUGUGUAUGUAUGGCGAGUGGGUGAAUUUCAACGAUCAGACACAUUGGGGGAAAUAAGUGCACGGUUCAAUUAAAAUUGUUUCUUUUUUUUCAGCUCGUUUCAGUACACAGCACGCCGCGACAUCUAGUAGAAAGUGUGUCACCACACAAGUGUACACAGAAGAAAUGGAAAAUUCGUAG